rnacentral:rRNA from 1 species
CGUAACGCGUAUGCAACCUACCUAUUUCUGGGAGAUAGCCCGGGGAAACUCGGAUUAAUAUCCCAUAGUAUCACAUGAUGGCAUCUGAAAGUGAUUAAAGUUUCGAUGGAAAUAGAUGGGCAUGCGUAAGAUUAGCUAGUUGGUGAGGUAAUGGCUCACCAAGGCAACGAUCUUUAGGGGGUCUGAGAGGAUGAUCCCCCACACUGGAACUGAGACACGGUCCAG